rnacentral:rRNA from 1 species
UAGGGAAUCUUCCACAAUGGACGAAAGUCUGAUGGAGCAACGCCGCGUGAGUGAAGAAGGGUUUCGGCUCGUAAACUCUGUUGUUAAAGAAGAACAUAUCUGAGAGUAACUGUUCAGGUAUUGACGGUAUUUAACCAGAAAGCCACGGCUAACUACGUGCUAG